UCGGAUGUAGUGCAUCGUGCACGCCUGCAGAAAUUGAUUCCCGUCAUCUGGAAUUCAGCAGGAGAUCCGGGUUCGAUUCCCGGCGUUCGAA